UACGUAGGGUCCGAGCGUUGUCCGGAAUUACUGGGCGUAAAGCGCGCGUAGGUGGUUCGUUAAGUUGGAUGUGAAAUCCCCGGGCUCAACCUGGGAACUGCAUUCAAAACUGACGAGCUAGAGUAUGGUAGAGGGUGGUGGAAUUUCCUGUGUAGCGGUGAAAUGCGUAGAUAUAGGAAGGAACACCAGUGGCGAAGGCGACCACCUGGACUGAUACUGACACUGAGGUGCGAAAGCGUGGGGAGCAAACAGG
rnacentral:rRNA from 1 species